rnacentral:tRNA from 1 species
AGGGUCGUAGUUUAUCUAGAACAGUUAACUUGCAUUUAAACAGAACUUAAGUCUACCCUU